CCCGUUGCUGGUGUCUUGCCUUCCCAAUUGGUGGGAGAGGGUGGCGUUCGUGCUUUCCAGCUUCACAAUUUGCGGAAUUCAGCACGUCCAAUUCUGCCUGAACCACUUCUCCUCAGAGGUGUAUGUCGGACCGCCAAAGGGGAAUGACUGGUUUGAGAAGCAGACAGCGGGCACGCUUGACAUCUUGUGCUCCCCGUGGAUGGAUUGGUUCCACGGCGGUCUACAAUUCCAGAUUGAGCACCAUCUGUUUCCCCGCCUACCUCGGUGCCACCUUAGGAAGGUCGCGCCCUACGUACGUGAUCUUUGCAAGAAGCACGGGCUGACUUACUCUGCAGCCUCAUUCUGGGACGCAAAUGUGCUUACAUGGAAGACACUGAGGGCUGCUGCAUUGCAGGCUAGGAACGCUGCAAGUGGUGCUGCGCCCAAGAAUUUGGUCUGGGAGGCUUUAAACACCC
rnacentral:lncRNA from 1 species